UACGGAGGAUGCGAGCGUUAUCCGGAUUUAUUGGGUUUAAAGGGUGCGUAGGCGGACUGUCAAGUCAGCGGUAAAAUUGAGAGGCUCAACCUCUUCCUGCCGUUGAAACUGGUGGUCUUGAGUGGAUGAGAAGUACGCGGAAUGCGUGGUGUAGCGGUGAAAUGCAUAGAUAUCACGCAGAACUCCGAUUGCGAAGGCAGCGUACCGGCAUCCAACUGACGCUGAGGCACGAAAGCGUGGGGAGCAAACAGG
rnacentral:rRNA from 1 species